rnacentral:rRNA from 1 species
AUACGUAGGUGGCAAGCGUUGUCCGGAAUUACUGGGUGUAAAGGGAGUGUAGGCGGUUAUGUAAGUUAAAUGUGAAAUCUAUCGGCUCAACUGGUAGGCUGCGUUUAAAACUACAUAACUUGAGUAAAGUAGAGGCAGGCGGAAUUCCUAGUGUAGCGGUGAAAUGCGUAGAUAUUCGGAGGAACACCAGUGGCGAAGGCGGCCUGCUGGGCUUUUACUGACGCUGAGGCUCGAAAGCGUGGGGAGCAAACAGGAUUAGAAACCCCAGUAGUCC